rnacentral:tRNA from 1 species
AAGGGAGACCUAAUUCCGGUAGGGGACGAAAAAAAAGUAGUCCCAACCAAGAAUCAAUCCCAAAAGGUCGGAACGAGGUAUGAGGCUUUCAAACUAGGUUCUGGGUUCAUAAAAGACCUGAAUCAGGAACAAGGGCUAUUAGCUCAGGUGGUUAGAGCGCACCCCUGAUAAGGGUGAGGUCCCUGGUUCGAGUCCAGGAUGGCCCACCUGCACAGGUGGCAAAAACAAGAGAAGCUCCGAAUCAGCACCUUAUCUUAUAUACAUAUAUAAGAGAGAAUGCUGGCUCUGAGUACAGAGUCCAGAGGAACCUUGAAAACUGCAUAGAGCUAGGUGAAAAAGCCAAAAAAGAAGACCGCAA